GCGCCAUAAGACAGGUCCGAAGGACUAUCCAUUAGGGGAUUGAGAGAGAACUCAAAUCAAAACCGAUGUGAAUUCAGGCUAAAAUCAAGGCUUUUGACUCCUCGCAAUAUUCUUUGCGCCUGUCUGUCCGAAGGACGGGAUAUUCUUGCUAUUACUUUGAAAACAAUGUAGAUGUAGAAAAGAUUCCACAAAUAUUUACGGGAGAGUAGGUAGGUCGGAAGGGGGAAUCUCAGCUCCCUCAAGAGGAAAGGAAUCGUCCGAGGCAGUGGAAGUCUACCUUUCAUCAUCAGAGGCAGAAGUGGUCAGUCGUAGUUGUAGUUCUUCUUUCAGUUGCUUUAGUUCUUCCAGGAGAAGUAGCUUAGUAGUUCGAUCGAUCGGGUGCGGUUAUCAGAAGCUCUCCUGUAGCCGCUCGACUUGAGAGGGUCCCUCUCUCUCCUAUUCACACCGCCUCAAUGGAUCUCUCUUUCUCCGCAACUAAUAUUUCAUUGAGCCUCUCUCAAAUUCUUUGAGCCUUCCGAAAGCAAGAUAAAAGAUAGGAGAGUUGGACAAAGCAAGAACUCAGAUAGAGGAAGAAGACAAAUUAUCCGUUAGAGGAAUGAUCCGUAGAAAGAUUAUCAGCUAGGGAACGGAAAGAGUUGGAGUCUGUAUUCUCUGGAUCGGGUAGAAUCUCCAUUCAGUCCCGUAAAGUAAAGCUGCUGAUUAAGUAAGAAAGGCCGAGUUCCAUAUGAGGGUAGACCGAGUUGGAGCCCUUGCUCCUCUUCCUGUGUGAGGAAGGUUGCCCUUGUUUUGUUCAUUGAGGCGGUUCUUGCUGCUAUAAUAAUAAGAUCAGACUUCUCUUCUUCGAUCGGUAAGCUCCUUAUUCAUGAAAAGGCGGAUUUCUCUUUUUUCUCUAUUUGGGCAAUGCUUCUUGUUAAAGACUCUUUUGUGACUCUGAAAUCAAGGGGUCGAUGAAAUUGACGGAUUGAGCCCACUCCGCGGGAAGAACUUAUCCACGAUCUUACAAUAGACCUGUCAGUAUCCGGACCAUAAACUCAAACUAGAAGUCUGAAUUUCUUUUACCUGUCCUAGGCUUGAUUCUUUCAUUGCAAUUUCCCGGCUUUUUUGCUUCUAAAUGUGACUUUUUUGAAGAUUGAUAUUUAACGAUAAUUGAGUGAAAAAGAAGGCAUUUGACUUGAUUUCUUGCUACUUCCCUAUGGGCAAAACCUAGCAAAAUCAUGUAUUUCCCUCCGUAAAAACAAGGUUAUGAAAUCUGAAUUAUUCUUGAAUUCGAGUUAAUGAGUUAAUUCUUCUUUUCUUUUUUCUUGACUUUUGUGCCAUACCAUAAGACAGGUCCUCCGGACGGUGCAAAGAAUAUUGCGUGGAACUGAAAAGAGCGCGUAGUGGGGAGCAGUUCAUUUAGAGACGACGGAGCACUCCUCUUGAGUCGUUUUCUCCCUUUUCAAAGGAGUCUUAUUCCCCAAAAUAGGAGUAUUCAGAGUAGGAGCAAUGACGAAAGGAUGCAGAUGCUCCCUAGUUGGAAGGUGGGCUUUCUUCUUCUUCUUCUUCUUCCUCUAAUUCAUACUAUAUUACUCUCUUCUUUCUUUGUAUGUAAUUUAGUAGGUUCUUGUCUUUUAUUAAGUUCUUAGGGGAAAAAUGUGCAAAUUGGACCUGCAAGAAAAGACCUCAAAAUGGGUUCCCCAUGUGCCGUGCCCUCCCAUGGGGCGGUCGAGCGAGUGCCUCUUACCUCUUUUUCUUCUGCUUUUCUCGUACUAAUGGAUGGAAGAGACUGCCCCACCCAACUCCAGGCUGAUCUUCGGAAACGGACUUUCUCACGGGUUGAAGCAAUGAAAACAGCUGUUCGUUCCUAUUCUCCCUAGCUUCGAAUGGAACUCACUCUGCCUGGGCACCUCUAUUUUAGAAUUACCUUUUAGAAAAGAGGCUACUUCUGCAGCCACAAAAGCAGCUAAACCACUCCCUAUUCCAAUGGAUCCGUCCUCAGUCGCAAAGUGAAUUUCUAGGCGAAGCGAAGGCUGAAUUCAUUGAGUUGCGGCUAUUACUUUGAAGAUAAGGAAGAAGAAGAUCUUCUUUCUCAGCCGAUACAGGCCUUGAAGCCUCAACGGAGACGGGUGGACGGGCACUGGGGUAACUCUCCCGUAGAUCAGUCUAUGAGCCUUCCUUAUGGUUGGGGCCUUUGUCCUUAUGGUGGGAGCUUGUCCCUCUUGUACGAGAGCAGGUAUUCUACCGCUACGUGGGUUACUGAAUUUGCGGAUUUAUGAUUCCGUAUUUCAUCCAUUUUGACUUGUUCAUAGAAAAUAGUCUAAAUAAUAGCUUUUUUGGAAGGGCCUGCAAAUAGCCACGACUUCUGCCACAGAGACAAGGACUAAAGGAUAAGCACUGCUGGUCGAACUGCCGGUUCUGGGUCUCGUCUUUGGUACUCUUUGGGGCAGAAACCUAUAUACCUGGGAGGGACGAAAGAAGGCGCUUAAAGCCUGAGCCUCUUGUUGGUAGGGUCUUCGAAAGUAGAAAGCCACUACGCGGUGAUCUGGGGCAUACACCUCUCUUUAUGCAACGAGAAAAGAGUCCAUAAACCCCGUUCAUGAAAAAGUACUCUUUCUUCUCUUUUCUCUAUUUAUAAACGAGAUCACGAGAAUGAAAAACAAGGGAUUGGACUAGUCCAUUGUUCAUUUUCCCUCGGCCCCAAACUCAGGAUCUUCAGGCCCACGGAGCGGUUUUGGGCAGCAAGUCUUUCUCUUUUACGGAUCUAUAAUGUAUUCCUCUUUCUUCAGAGUAAGCAAGCUACCUUCUUUUAGUAGCGAAUCCGGAAUAGGUCAUCCGGAAACUGGAAAGUCUCCCGUAUUCAGUAAAUCUCUCUCUGUUCUCUCUAUCUCUCGGAAAGGGGCCAAGCAAUCCUCUUCCACGCAAUAUUCUUUGCACCUCCUUCCUAGAAAUCUUGCUUCCUGCUUAGCAGUCUGACUUCUUUACUGGUUCCGCUUCCCUUCUUUUAAAAGAUACUAGUUCCCGUCCUGAUCUCUCUCAUGAUAAAUAAGUCGUGAAGGUCAGAUGGUGGGGCAGUCUAUUCCUAAUGCAAAUAUCCCCGGGACUUAUCUCACCAUUUCUCGUCCCGAUAUUGCUUAUCCUGUCCAUGUGCUUUGGUUAGCAAAUUAGAAAACUCACCUCCUUCUGUGAGGAGAUUCGGCCGGGGUGGGCUAAGCUAAUCAGCAGGCUUAUUCAGACAUGCUUAUGGACAGAUAUGGAUUCUAAACUUGAUUGGCUUAGGCUUAGUCGACCUACCUGAGGAGUUUUCUUCCUCUUUACGGGUUCUAACCGCUAGUUCUACCGCGUAGUGGGGUCAAAACCCGUCCUCGCAAUAUUCCAAAUGGUUGACGUUCCCACUUCCUUCCGCAUUCAAAGUAGCAGUCUAAUAAUAGAAGGAUCGAGAUGAAUGUGAAAGGUCACACCAAUAGGAAGCAGAUAAAGAAAAGAGGAUGAUAGCUCGAGAGCAAGAUUAAGGAUGCCUUGGUGGAAGAGUCAAGUGAGGACAGGUUGGGGUAGAAGGAGCAAGCGAGGCAGAAUUGAAAGGUAGAAAAGAUAGAGAAGAAAAAAGAGUUCUGACUUUCUUAUCGACUUAUAUCUUUCAAAUUAAUCUCUGAUUAUUUCAUUCGCAGAGAGAAAGAUCAAUGACCCACGGGGCAAGAGACUUAAGAAACUGAAGACGGAGUCAAAGCCUUAAAUCAAGACUGUCAGAGAGUUAAGGAAGAAUCCUUCUCCGCGGCUGGAUCGGAAGAAAGAAGGAAUAUAUGCUCGAUCUUCUUCUUAUUUUGAGUUGUGAAUAUCUGAAGAAAGGAGAGAAAGAGAAAGUCUGAAUACUCUAAGUCUUCUUCUCAUUCUUUUCAUUGAUAGCUUUCUUAUCUUUUUUGAUUAUAUUUUUGAUCAUAGAUCUUCGAGAUCGAGAUUUGGAAGAUUCCACACGCCACGCUUCCUCGCUUCGAUCAAGAUGGGGAACCGCAUUCAAUGGCGAAUGAUAGCUCGCCUCGCUCGGGUCCUUUCAAUCAGGUACAGGUAUCCUUUUAUUUACUUUCAUAAGAGAAGAGAGAAUGUGCAAGGGUAAGCAUCGAUCCUAAUCGUCUCGGGAUCUCUUCCCUUUCAUUCAGUUGAGAUCCGUCCGAAGGUGAAAAGAAUAUUGACAAGACUUCCAGGUGCGAAGGCGCCAUAAGACAGGUCCGAAGGACUAUCCAUUAGGGGAUUGAGUUGGGGCUAUUAUUUUGGUUUUGAGGGUGAAAAGAAUAUUGACAAGACUUAACAGGAGUGCAACUGAUUAAUGGAACUUUCAAUGAAAUAGUCCACCUUCUUCUUCUUUAUUACCGAGAUUUGAAAUGAAAGGCUACCGAGGUCUGCGUACGGGGGGUUUGGUUUGGGCAAUUCCACUUUGUCUUAAGAAUCCCAUUCUCAUCUCAGCCUCGCGAGCAUGACUUAGCGAUCGUCGCUUCCUACCUCAAAAUAGGAAUAUAAUAUAAUAAGAGAGAAAAUCUCAGACCAUCUCGACGAGGCCACUCGGGUCUAGAGUCCCCUCGACUUAAUAUAAUAAGAGAGGAAUUCAUUCUAGAAUUCCGUCUUACAAGAAUUUGAACUUUCAUGAUUCCACUCUGCACCCGACUGAAACUAUUCGCGCUGAACUCAGCUCCGGAACUGGUCUUGAUUCCCUUUCUGACUAUGCUAUGAGAAGGACUUUCUAUUUGUCUGGAUGGGAAACUUCCGCGUAAACUCGGUAUCCUCGGGUCCAUGAAAUUACCCACGGAUACUAUUCUUUCAUUACCGCUCCGUGGGCUCAGAGGCUACUUUCUCACGACUCCUUCCACUGGUCUUGAUUUCGUAUUAAUCGGUCCUGUGCGCGAUCGCCUGGUCGAACCCCUCGGCCGAUUCUCGAGUUAUUUCAUUCCUCUUCCCCAGCCUCAGCCUCUCGGGCUUUUAGUCUUUUUCUUUGUUAACGAAAGAAUGGAGGAUGCCUUGGAAUAUGCUCCAAAGUAUGAAAAGAAAAAAAACCUAGGCUCCUACUAAACGAAUAAGACGGAAGAGAACUGAGAAACCCCCAGCGAAAGCCUAUCCUCGACUCCUUGAGUCCUUCGUAGCAGUCUUUUUUCGCAUUCUCUUUCAUUCUUAGCAGCCCAGCUAUCAGGGGGCUCUCCCGUAAGCCUCAGAGAUUCUUCAUGGUGGCAGAGAUCUAGGCCCGAUUUACCUGACUAUACCUUAUUCUAAGGGCAAAUAAACCUUCUUAACCGGCCUUCUCUCUCAUUCAUCUUCCGGUGGAAGGACUAAUAUUAGCAAAGCAAAAACCUUGUCCAUAUCUUUUCUUCUCCUUUUCUUCCAAGUUGAUGGAAAUUCGAAAUCUUUCUUCUCUUUUCUUUCUAUAUAAAGGAUCAAUAAGUCCUCAUCCAUUUGGUGGAAGCCAGCCUAUACCCAAAAGUGCAUUUUUCUCAAUUCUCCCUCUCUUUCGUAAAGAGAGCUCUGAUCGACUUCUAUAACUCUGCACUCUUCCCCUGCACAUAAUCAGAUAUUCAGAAGAAAAGAAAUUAACUCAAGCAUAGUCAGAUUUGGAAUACUCUUUCAAUCAAAAGUGCUAAUUUGGAAAGAAGAAGGCUCGAUUCAAGAGUCCAAUGCGGCUACGUCUUCUUAGCCAGAUGAAGGUCAUAGGUCGGUGGGGAAUAGGGCAUGGCCCAGUUCAAAGCCCCGUGCAUCGCGCCUCGUCUCGACUUUCCUUUGUCCUUGGGGAUGGUGUGUGUGAUCUUUCUAUCAUCAAGAAUAUGUCAAGAAGAAGAGAAAGAAAAAAAAGCCUUAGACAGCAGACGAAGAGGAGGAGGGCGAGGGCAGGAUGAAAGAGAAAGAAGAUCUUCAGGACUCGAGGCGGAUACUAGGUUUUCCCGCUCCGUGGGCGACUUUGAAAACAUCCAGACUGAAAAGGAUUCAAAAUAAUUAAUUCGCACUAUAGAGAAGGAGUCUAUCUAAAUCUAAUCGGGACUUAGCUUAGAGAAAGAGAGCAUCCUUUAUUGGAAGUUUCCAUCUUAAUGAAAUUAAGGUAUCCUCUUCCCUCUCGGUUCUAGAACUCAGGAUUGGCGCGCGAGCGAACCCUUGUCCGGAAGCUCUUUCUCAUAUUUCAGAGGGGCGAAGCCAGGUAGGGCCCACGUAGCGGUGAUUUGACCACAAGACUUGAAUGGGAAAACCUUGCACCCGGCUGGGUCCUUCGCCCUAACUCCACUCGAGCUCCGAUCCCAGGAUCAUCAUCUGCGGCUAGGCUAAUUCAGUCAUGAAAGGAAGACAGCGGGCGAUAGGUUAUUUGUCCUCAACUCAUAUCUUAACUAAGACUUCUCCACCUUAAGAGAAAGAGAAGAGUUAUCGAUAGAGAAAAGUCAAUGAACAAGGCGAUCAGAAUUUGAGGGAGAGUUAUCGACUGCUUAUUAGAAUUCUUUGCGAGCCCGGUACGAUUUCUUGUAAUAUUAUAUUCUAUUUGAGUCCAAUGAUGAAAAGCUGUCAAGGGCGAUCGGCUAAUCGUACCACGUAAUCCUUGUAAUCGUGUGAGUCCACGAAUCCUCUCUUUCGGAAGAUCAGCCGAAACCGACCGGUCGGGGGUGUGAAGUAAAGCUAUCACUCAAGAUUCAGAGUGGGAUCUCCACUCUUCCCCACUACGCAGUGCGGCACAGGAAGAUUUUUCCAUUGAAUAAGAUUCAUUCCCCAUGCGUAUAUUCAUCACUCCCACUGGCGCAUUGAAAGCAAGGGCCUCGACCCAGCUAUGAGAUCUUUCAUUCUCAAUUAGAUAGAGGCGGAUCCGUCCCAGUUUGGAGAGGGUGCCUGUGCCGCUUGAAGUAGAAGUUCUUCGUCUUCUGGCUCGGUCCCAUCAGAGAUUGAGUCUUUUCAGGAUCAGUUCUUCGAUCGGUAAGCACCGCUACGUGGGUCACUCGUCGGCUAAUAGCCAACUACCUGCGAAAGUAAUAAGAAGAUAUUCAGAAGAUCUAAGAUAAAUAGUCAAGAAUGUCUUCGUCAUCAUAUAAGGAGAAAGUCCUCUUCAUUCUUAAUAAGAAGAUAUUCAAAAGCGGACUUUCGUAUUAGUUCCAUUAAUCAGUCCUCCUUUGUCUACAUAGGUAUUAUGACUCAUCUGGAUACUUUCUUUUUAGUCCUUCUUUAGUUCUCCGCAAUAUUCUUUGCGCCUACGUUAGGCUCCAUAAGACCGCAAUAUUCUCAAUCUUCAAAGAGCCUUUCCUCUUUUCCGCAAUAUGUGAUCGCCAUUCUCUUCUUUGCAAAGGCGGAAGAUCAGUCUUAUUCCAAUAAUAUCCGUCAUGAUCCCUUUAAAGCAGACGUUAGGAGCGAAAGCCGCUCGACUGUAAGGCUAAAUGUGGGGCGCAGUUAAGGCGCGAAGCGAAGCGCAUUUAUCUAAGAAGAGAAAACGAGUCAAGAGGACGGAGUGCAAGGCGCAAAGAAUAUUGCGACUUUGCGGGGAAGAGUCAUCAGCUAUCUUUCAAUCCACGAGGAAUAUUCGGACAGGUAAGAAAGAAGAGAAGAGGGCCCAGUAUGAAGGAAUUACAUAAGUUCAGCCCCUCGACGUAGAAGAGAAGAAGCUCCCGAGUCUGGCAGAAGGAGAUCUUUCAGAAGUAGGAGUUCUUGUGGGAGGCUUUACCGCUACGUGGGCCCUUAUCGAUAGGGCAUUGAAUGAGACCUAACCUUGAUUAUUUCUCAAUUUCCUGGCAGUCAAAAGAUCUCCUUUCUUUUUGCCUCGAUCGAUCGAAGGAAGAAGAAGCAACUUCUCCUUCUUAUUAAAUUCAAAGAAGGAGGAAGAAAGAGAUAAUCCCGCGGGCACCCUAGAUCAGAAUCAGAAGGUCAAUCAUCCGGGAGAGCUUACUCUUUCGCUUUCAGGUACCCUUACCGACCCCUUUCUUUCUCUUUCUGACCGUCCUCAAUUCCACCUCUGUUCUUGCUUUGCGCGCCUACUUCUUCAUCAUUCUAAGUUUCUUUUCUCUUUCUCUUACUCAUUACUCACCUCAACUCUUAUUAAGACAAUUCCCUAUCCCUUAACCCUACGCGCACCCGUAGGUCUCGCUCCUUCACACCUCUCCCGAUCCUUCUUCCUCUUCCGAAAGAGAAAAUACUCAAUCUGAAAGGGAAGUUUCUCCCUAUCGGUCCUUAUUUCUUAUCAAUUCAGGAAGAAGGACGCGCUCUCAUACUCAGAUUUCAGUGACUGAUUCCGAUGCGUCGAGAUAUGAUAAGAAAAAAUACGGGAAAGCUUUUUCAAUAUCUGAAAGACGGAUGCCUACUUCCACGGCAAACUUCUGACUUAACCUAUCGGUGGUCUGUCUAUUCUACCCUCCUUCUUUCUUAUCUUUCUCCUGCGGACCUCUUCCUCCGAGACUGGGACAGCGGAGUGGAGCAUUUCUUCCUUUUAUGACAGGCCGAUCGAUCCGAUUUGACCGGGAUGCUCAAUUUCAUCCAAAAAUUCAGAAUGAAUAAGAAAUCCCCUAUUUCUCUGGAUGGAAGUUGGAACCGCUCGGCCAUUGGCUAGUCAUUUCUUAGGGAGAAUAUCAAUUUCCCACCUAGCGGCCUCAAAACCUUUGAACUCUCUUGAUAUGAUAAUCAUGACUUAGAUAAGCAAAGUAGAGAAAAGAGAAAUAAAAUAAGUAAGGCUCAAAGAAGAUUUCGAAAAGAAAGACUCAAAAUCGAAUCAACGGCAAAUAAAAGAGAGAGGAAACCUACGAAGAAAAAAAGCUUUACUAAAGGCCUACGAAGCGAAGCCUUAUCUCUUCUUAUGUGGAAUCAGACGACUCCUUCUCCAGGCUAGGUGCUUUUCAAUCAAAAAAAUAGUUAUGAGGAAACUUUUCCUAUCUUAUGAGAUCUGAACCAUUCUUUAAUAAAAGAGAAAAGAAAGAUCAAGCCUAGCGAAGCGAAGGAGCGCAAACCAAAGGGUAUCUUUUCUUUCCGAAAUGGGACAUGAGAAGGAGGAGUCGUCUUCGUCUGCUUCGGUUCUUUCUCUUUUUUCUUCAUGCAUGAGACCGGAAGUCCUCCCCUGGCAAGGUCGGACAUCGUAAUUAACCAGAGUCGAAACCCAAGGUUUCCUCCGUGACCCCCUACAAUACCCUAUUAUUGGAAUAACUCCUAUCGGAGGGCUCAAGACGAGAAAAGAAUUCUCUCAAGAGAAGCUCGACUGAGAUGGACGAUCAAAGAAUAUUGAGAAAGAAUAUUGCGUGAAAAAGAAGGGUAAUUAUUACGCGGGAAGAGGUUUCUUUUCCCACGGUUUUGGCUCUUGCCCUUGUUGCAGGAGAUCUUGGAGUUGGAGUGGGAGCUCUCUAUUAUUGAAUAGAAUAUUCUAUUCUCUCAUUCUUUGAGCCUUUCAAAAUCAGGGUAAGGACGGAUCCCGCGCCAUAAGUAAGGAGACAGGGAAAGAGACCCAAGCAAAGAGAGUGGAUUGCUCUACCCACUACGCGGUUACGAGGCCUGGGCGAAAGGCUGGAGGUGUAGAGGAAGAGGUGAAAAGAAGAUUUCCGCGACCAAAGAGUCUAACUAAAGAAAGAGGUGAAAAGAGGAUUUCCGCUUGAUUUUAGCGGUAGGCUUUCCUUUUAUUCAGUAUUUAUUAGGUUACUUCUUCUCCUUUUGAUAGGCUUUCUUCCUUUUAGUCCUUUCAUGAGUCGAUCCGGGAAAGGGGCAUGAUCGCUUUCAUUCUCCCCGUUGGUCAAGGGGGAGGUGUCCCCGGGACGGAGUGCAAAUAGCUUAUUUCUGAAUUUCUUAGAAAGAAAGAAGCAUCUCGACUAGGAGCAAAGCAACUCUUCCAAUCCAUCUUGAUUGUAUAGGUUUCAUGAGAGGGGAAUAACUACGAAUGGGAACUUCAAGUUUUUGAAGUAGGAUCAGAGGCGGAUUUUCGGGCGGGGAGGCAGUCCCAGUUGCGAGUAAGUAGGAUAACCGAGAGGAGACAAAGAAGGCCCAUAGCUGGAUAACUAGGCAGACGAGGAUCGGAUAAGAUAAGAAGCUUUCUGCAUCCCACUUCUGCCACAGACUCUGACUCGUAAACUCCCUUGAACCUCGAGCUACUUUCUGACGAUUACUCUCUCCAGUCGCUCCUAAUCCGAUACAGGAGAGCUGCUUCUGCCAUGAGGGGUUCCCCUCGUUCUUCCCGAUCCCUCCCCGCGUAGGGGGCAUUGACUUGAUUGAUUCUGAUUCAUUACCGAAUUACCGAGAUGAUGGGGUCUGCGGGGAGAAAUUUGAUUCUUAUACGCCUUUCAAGUGUCAGUAGCGGUCCCGAUCGAUCGAAGAAGAACAACUUCUCCUGCAACGGACCCAACUCCAGAAGAAUAGUUCGCUGCUCUUGGUCCCGAAACCUUUGGUCUCUCCUUCAUUCCUCAGCCUUUGGCCCUUAUUCAUUGAUUCCUCAACGGGCUUUAUUUAUGGAUGUUCUUGGAACAAGGGGCCUCUAAACCUACUAACAAGAAAGCGCAACUUCUAUUUUGAUGGGACUUAUCCAUAUUUAUUAAGAGCAAGGCAUCCUUAAUCUUGGGCUGACAACGGGGGAAGUUCUUCACUAUAUGGGGCAAAUACCCUUCCCGCCGACCGUCGAUCCCUUGAAGGUGGAGCUACUGAAUUCCUCACCUCUGACGUCGAACCGGAUUCCUGUGUGUGGAGUCCCACUUCUAAUGCCCUAGCGCUUCCCAACCGAAUAAUCUAAUAGUUCGUGCUCGAGCAAUAUCAAUAUUCUAACCCCUUUCCCUGUAGGUCAAGCUCCUUCCCUCCUUUCCCAGCCUCUUUAUUUGCUUCUUCUCUGUACGCCUUCGCAGAUCUUCUUGGUACGGAUGUGCCUUUGCCUCUCUUCUAUGCCCGGUUUAGGGACGGAAGUAGCUCGACCAUAGGAAGAGGGACAAGCGCUUAAGAAAGAUAAGUUCCAGCAGGUUAGGAGGCGCAGCAGCAAGAAGGGAUCUCCGUUACCUGUGUUGAGGUUUUCUUUUCUUCUUGCAUUCUUCUUUGAAUUUCUCUUUUCUUGUCCGUGAGUGCUUUGACUCACUCUGAUCAUAAGUCAUAAGAAGCCCACGGAGGGGGACUUGUGAGACGAGAGGAUAGGGCUUCCUUCAUAUAUUCCGUAAUUUCAUUGAUUAUCGAGGAUGUUCCCAAUAGGGCUCGGUCUAAUUCCGCUGCCGAAAGAGGGAGAGCGGACUCUUUAUGUAAUAUGCGCUUUCUGGGUCAAGUCGGCUUAGCGUGAUAGGCAUGCGGAUCUGUCUUACUGACUGACUCAACUUCUUAGUCUUUUUCUUCCUUUUGCUGUACCAGAAGUCCUUGUUGAAGACAGAGAAGUUCUUACUCAAUUUCCUUUUCUGGAACUGAAAACGAAAAUAAUAGCCGCAAUAUGCGCCUCAAAGUAAUAGCUAUUCAAAGUCCUCCCUCCUGGACAAUAGCGAAUGUUCACCUUUUUGGGACUUUUCAAAUCAAAUAUGAUUCAUAGUCCUCCGUCCUACAGUCGUCUUAUUUCCUUAUCAAUGAGACGGAGCGGAGCCAAGUUCGGAACUAAUGGAGUUCCUCCAAAUAAUAGCUAUUCAUAGUCCUCUAAAAAGAAAAAUCAGAGCUCUUUGAGCCUUUGUUUUUGAAUCAUUUUUCCCCCUCUAAAAGAGUAAGCAGGUCCGAAGGACUGACCGCAGAGGCUUUUUGGAGCUGCUCCUCGUCUUUGCGCCUUCGCAUAUUGAAUUGCGCCUCCUACGCGCGUUAAAGUGGAAGGCAAUCGCAUCGCAAUAUUAUAUUCUUUGCUGCGCCUAACUCCAAAAUCAAGAAAGCACUACGCGGGUGAAUGAAUAUGAGAAGAAUAUUGCGGUUGAAAAAAGGCCUACUUUGAAGGAGCGGGUGAAUGAAUAUGAGAAAGAAUGAUCGAAGAAUAUUGAAAAAGGACAGGUCGAAACUAGGCUUUUUAUCUUUGACUCUUGAAUCAGGGAGAGCGGAUCCAGUCUUCCUUUCAAGUCUCCCUUCCUUUCUUCCCGAAAGCAAUGAAGGUAUAAGAUUCACCCAAAGGGCUAACUUCACUAGUUCCCUGGGAUCACAGAACUAGCGUGAAAAGACCGGGAGUCCUAGUCCACCAAAGCGUGCAGAUCCAUCAUGGCAAAGACCGGAUCUGAUCUAACUCUAAGAUAAGAGCGGAUUGGCCGACUGAAAAAGUAUGAAAAUCAGUUCCACAGGUCCGAAGGACUAUCCAUAUUAACCCGUCUGUCCGAAGGACCUGUGACGCCUUGUUCAUUGAUUCUUUUUUCUUUCAGUGAAUUAGAAUGUGGCUCCUCGACCGAAAGGUUUAUGACAAGUCUUCUUUC
rnacentral:lncRNA from 1 species